rnacentral:rRNA from 1 species
AUUGAACGCUGGCGGCAGGCCUAACACAUGCAAGUCGAACGAGUGGCGGACGGGUGAGUUAUGUCUGGGCAACGGCCUGAUGGAUGGGGAUCACUAAUGGAAACGGUAGCCAAUACCGCAUACCAUCAGAUGUGCCCAGAUGGGUUGAGCUUGUGGGUGGGGUAACGGCUGACCAAGGCGAGGAUCCCUAGCUGGUCUGAGAGGAUGACCAGCCAAACUGGAACUGAGACACGGUCCAGACUCCUACGGGAGGCAGCAGUGGGGAAUAGUGCACAAUGGGCGCAAGCCUGAUGCAGCCAUGCCGCGGGUAUGAAGAAGGCCUUCGGGUUGUAAAGUACUUUCAGCGGGGAGGCGUUACCCGCAGAAGAAGCACCGGCUAACUCCGUGCCAGCCGCCGCGGUAAUAC